GAUGAACGCUGGCGGCGUGCUUAACACAUGCAAGUCGAACGGUGAAGGCGGAGCUUGCUCUGCUGGAUCAGUGGCGAACGGGUGAGUAACACGUGAGCAAUCUGCCCCUGACUCUGGGAUAAGCGCUGGAAACGGCGUCUAAUACUGGAUACGAGCUGCUAAGGCAUCUUCAGCAGCUGGAAAGAAUUUCGGUCAGGGAUGAGCUCGCGGCCUAUCAGCUUGUUGGUGAGGUAAUGGCUCACCAAGGCGUCGACGGGUAGCCGGCCUGAGAGGGUGACCGGCCACAAUGGUACUGAGACACGGCCCAGACUCCUACGGGAGGCAGCAGUGGGGAAUCUUGCACAAUGGGCGAAAGCCUGAUGCAGCAACGCCGCGUGAGGGACGACGGCCUUCUGGUUGUAAACCUCUUUGAGCAGGGAAGAAGCGAAAGUGACGGUACCUGCAGAAAAAGCGCCGGCUAACUACGUG
rnacentral:rRNA from 1 species